AUACAUAUACACAUAUCCAUUCUUUUUCAGAUUAUUAGUAUUUUUUUUUUGUAAAACCAUCUUCCAUGAGUCUUGCAAUAUUCCUUUCUCUGCUCCAAAACUCUGACUUUUCAGUUUGCUUGACUUCACUGUGUAUUGAGCACAGGAACUUGGUUUGGACAAUAAACUUGGUUUCCAAUGAUGAAUGAAUGGAUAAAGAAAAUGGGAUAUUUGUGUGUGUGUGUGUGUGUGUGUGUGUGCGCACGUAUUGUAUAUAUACACACAUAUAUAUAAUGCCAUUAAACAAAUUAAAUCUUGGCAUCUGUGAUAACAUGGGGUGUUUGUGUAUAUUGUGAAAUCAUCACCACCAUAAGUAUAGUUAACAUCCUUCAUAGUUAUAAAUUUUUUUCUUGUGAUGAAGACUCUUAAAAUCUACUCUCUUAGCAACUUUCAAAUAUGCAAGAUAGUAUUAUUACCUCUAGUCACUAUGUUGUACAUUGCAUCCUUAUGAUUUAAUUAUUUAUAACCGGAAGUGUAUAACAUUUGACACCUUAACCCAUUUUGCCUGACAAGCACCAGUCUGUUUCCUAUAUCUAUGAACUUCCUUUUUUUCAUUUCUUUUCUUUUGUUUUCUUUUCUUUCUCUUCUUCUUCUUUUUUUUUCUUUAGAGUCCACAUACAGCAGACAUCAUAGGGUAUUUGCCUUUCUCUGAUUUAUUUCACUAAGCAUAAUGCCCUCGAGGUCCUUCCCUGCUGCCACAAAUUCCAAGACUUUGUCCAUUUUUAAUGGCUGAAUAACAUUUCAUAAUUUUUGAUAACCUGUGUGUUCACUUUCAUUUAGUUCAAAAUUUUAAAAUUUUCUUUUGAGAUUUCUCUUUGUUCCAUGUAUUAUUUAGAGAUGUUGUUUAAUCUUCAUGCACCUGGGAUUUUCCAGUUACCUUUCUGUCACUCUGUCUAGUUUAACCCCAUUGCUGUCUGAGAGCAGACCUUAUAUGAUUUACAUUCUUCAAAAUUUCUUGAGAUGUGUUUUAUAGCCCCAAAUGUGGUCUAUCCUGAGAAGUGUUCCAUGUGAGCUUGAGAUGGACUGCAUUUACUGUUGCUGGAUGAAGUAAUCUGUAAAUGUCAGUUAUAUCCAGUUACUUACGUGAUGCUGUUGUUGAGUUCAUGUUUGUCGCUACUGAUUUUUUGGUCUGCUGGAUUGGUUCAUUUAGAGAUGAGCUUUGAUCUCCCAACUAUGACGGUGAAUUCAUCUAUUUCUCCUUGACUGUCUUUCAUUUUUUUUCCUUCGUGUAGUCUGAUGCCCUGUUAUGAGGUACAUGCUCAUUUAGAACUCUUAUAACUUCAUGGAGAAAUGACCCCUUCAUCAGUAUGUAAUGCUCUUCUUUAUCAAUGAUUAUUCCUUUGUUUGAAGUCUGAUCAGACUGCAUUUAAUACAGCCACUCCUGAUUUCUUUGAUUAGUGGUAGCAUGAUAUAUUUUUCUCCAUCCAUUAACUUUUUGUCUAUAUGUGUCUUUAUAUAAAUUAAUUUCUUGUAUGAAACAAGAAAUGGAUUGUAUAUUUGAUUCACUAUGACAAGUGACAAGAGACCAGCUCAGCAGGUUGGGGCUGAAGAACGGGUGCCGUGAAACUUAAGGAAAAAAAUUAACAUAAAACAAGACACAGAGACAUUUAUCUUAAGUAAAGGUGGGAACUGGGGGACUCAAGGUCUCAGAGACUAAGAAUGCCUCCUCAAGAAACCACAUUGCUUUUAUUGUGUUCUUUAGGAUUACAUCAAGUGAGGAGGGGGCUAUAGGUGCAGGAUAUAGUUUUUUUUGUUGUUGUUGUUAUUUUAUAAGUUCUUUUAUUAUUUUAAAAAUCACAUUGCUGGUAGAUGGUUAAGCUUUUACUCUGAUCUUUAGACAUUUUACAAUCAUUAGCAUUUGAGGAAGCUUGGAGUCAGCUAUCUAUGCAUAGCAUUCCAGAGAAUCAUCACUGUGCUUCUGCAAAGGGCAUGCCUAUCUGUGGCAACCCAGUGUGCCUAGGUUUGCACCUUGGUUCUCUUUGCUAAUGCAUAUUCUGCUAACUACCCCCCAAAAACCACUUGGGGCCAUGAGGUUCCUCUUUCUCUUAUUCUUUAGAGGACAUAUCAUGCUUGUGCAAACAGCAUGCCUAUCUGCACAGGUCCCGUGUGCCUAGACAAACACAUUAUGUCCUCAUUUAGCUGACACUAUGAAUAACUUAUGCCUUUAGGUCAUUGUUCUUAAGUCAUUUACCAGCACUGUGACUGUUUUUCAAGCAGGAAGAUGAGGUAAAGUAAAGCAGGACAAGAUGGAGUUUUCAGCGAAGAGGCUAAAAAAAUAUUGUAGAAACAUGUCUUGCGACAAUGUAUGUAUAUGAUAUUAUCACCAUUACCAAUGUGACACUGGAGUCACUGGAGCAGAAAUGAAUCCCACCCUUUGAAUGAGAUGUGUGUCUGAGCAGAUCUGCACUAGAGGAGUUGUGUCACAGUGGAAAUGAUCAACUACGUUGGAAACACAGAAAGCAAGCUAUAGGCCUAAGGGUUAAGAACCCAGCAAUCCAAGAACAGAAGGCAAGCCAAAGGCAGGUUUUACUACUCAUGAUGGUUGUGUAAUGCAGGGGCUUAACAGAUGGCAACACAGCAAUCAUUGUACAUUGCUGCCAGCAAGUAACAUUCAGAUCCAAGAAUAAAGAUUAGGAGUUCCCACUGUGGCGCAGUGGAAAUGAAUCUGACUAGGAACCAUGAGGUUGCAGGUUUGAUCCCUGGCCUCUCACAGUGGGUUAAGGGUCUGGCGUUGCUGGUGUAGGUCCCAGACAUGGCUUGGAUCUGGUGUUGCUGUGGCCCUGGCAGAGGCUGGGGGCUAUAGCUGUAUUUAGACCCCUAGAGUGGGAACCUCAAUAUGCCAGAGGUGUGGCCCUAAAAGGACAAAAGACCAAAAAACCAACAAACAAACAAAAAAACCUAUCAAUUGUGGAUCAUCAGUUAAACCUGCCAAAAUAAACACUGUCACUUUUGUAUGGUUUCCCAUUAUUGUCCUUACUAAUAUUCCAUUCCUCUCUGCAUGUAUCUCACUCUACCCUUCAAUCUACCUUAUCUAUUUAUGACAACUUUGUACAUAGUUUGAUCAGUGCUUUUUUCUUCAGAUUUUUUGACUAGUGUAUUACAUUUCCCCCAUUACUCUAAUUCACUUAUUUAUGUACUGAAUACCUUUCUAAAUAUUACCCACAAUGCCAGUCCUCACUUGGUCCCAUCAUGUAUGUAUGCUUUCUGUGCUCUGAAGGAAAAUGUCCAAAGACUAUAAAGAAUUCCCAGUAGGAUAUGAGAUUCAAGAACACCAAUCCCAAAGUAUCAAAAAUUUACAAGUUACACCAGGGUUUUUCUCAAACACUACAUAUUUUUUUAAAAAAUAAAACCUAUAGCAUAUAAACUUUAUGUCACUGAAGAAUUCAGUGUAGAUUUCUUUCUUUCUUGUCUUUUUAGGGCCGCACACAUGGCUUAUGGAGGUUGCUAGGCAAGGGGUCAAAUCAGAGCUGUAGCCACUGGUCUACACCACAGCUACAGAAAUGCCAGCUGCAUCUGCAACCUACACCACAGUUCACAGCAAUGCCGGAUCCUUAAUCCAUUGAGUGAUGCCAUGGAUCUAACUUGAGUCCUCAUGGAUCCUAGUCAAUUAUUUUCCACUGAGCCAUGACAGGAACCACUGGAUUUCUGUAAUAUGUUCGUCCUCCCACACACUUAUGUUUUGAAAUCCCAAAUACACAGGUAAUUUGAAAGCAGAAAAAUAAAGUAUCAUUUUAGUUGGUAAUAAAAAAAGUGACACUAUAAGAUGAAGAAUCUAGCCUGUCAAGGAAACAUUUUACCUCAGGUUAAAUGCAACAGUAUUACUAUUCCAGACACUCCUAAAAUUCCAUGCCCUCUAUGACCUCAGUUUUCUGUUGUGAAAGUUGUCUUCUCUUCAACUAGCUUUUGCAGUUUUCUUUAUUGGAUCUUAAACUAACAGUUCAUGAUAACUAGGUAGUCUCCACAACUUCUGUCUUAAUAGAAUAUUUACCUAUGUAUAUGGCUAGAAUUCCUGUAACUUGUUGUAGAUAUGUAGCUACAUUAUGGCCAAAGGGUCUAAAUAAAAAUACCCAGUGCAAUUUCCAGGGAUCUUCUAGUGAUAAAGGGAGUUUUUAUCUUCUUCAGUUUAUUCUGACUCUUGAAAUGUAGAUGUGAUGGCAAAUCAUUUGGAGCCAUGAGUGUGAUCAAUUACAGUAGGAAGUGCUAGUAAACAAGACAGAACUAAUCCAGAUUCCUGGUACCACUGUAGACCAAGCCAACAAGGAAAACACAACGAUUUUGUGGCUGUUUCAUCAUACUAGCCUGAACAUUUAAGUGAGAGAGACAUAAAUUAUUUUUUGUUUAAACCAUUGUGAUAUUUGUAUUCCUCAUACUCUAGCAAAUCUAUGUUAGAAAAACCUGUUUCCUUUGACUGAUGUGUUGUAUUUAUUUAAUUUCUCUCCUAUGGUCCCUGUGUCUUCUUUCAUGAUCCCUUAUUCUGCUUCUGAUUGUUGGCUAAGUAUUCCUUGAACUCAGUAUCAAUUUUUUAAAUCAUUAAAUAAUUUAGUUCUUUAUUGAAAUUAUUCAUUUGAAUUAUUGACAAACUGUAAGCUAAAUACAUGUUUAUUCUUGGGCGUCUUUCUAUUUCUGUGAUUUUCAUGGAUUUUGGCCUAUCUCCUGUGAUGAUUAUGAAUUUUUUUUUACUGGAUAUUCAAAACUAUAUGCAAAUGUUCAAGGUGCUGGUUGAUGAUUAAUUCUACAAAUAUAAUUUAAUUUAUCCUAGUACAGGUUAAAGCAGAAAAGCUUAACCAAAAUGGAAUGAGAUCAUUUGAAUUAUGCGUUUCAUGCUAUGGGAGUAAUGAUGGAUUCAUUGUACUUCUGCUUGGAGUAUAUGAUUUCAGUGCUGUGAACUAAAAGUCUAGGUACUGACCCAGGAUCUUCCACUUUGGCAAAUCAUAACUGUCGAAUUUUGUCUUCAGACACUAGGAAACAGCAGGGAUUUCUUGAGAUUCUUCAUCAGUAGGUGCUGCUUUGCACUUGUGGUUUCUGGUUUGUUUGCUUGAACUUGGGACUUAUCAAAUAUGUUUAGGGAGAAAAUAAAAGGAUGGGAAAAAAUUGAUCACUUAUUCCUUAAGAAAUUGUUUAGUCUGUGGUCACAGUGGUUAUCAGAGGUUUAGGAAUAUAGACCAAUGUGGAUAAGAUUCUUAAGAAGAAGAAAUUUUAGAGGAAAAAAUACAUGAACAUCUUGAGGAAGGGAUUCAGCUGGACAAAGAGGAAGAGUUCUCCAUCAUGCUCAACAUUGUUCUGACAAAACAGAAACAAGGAAAAAAACAAUUUGCUGAAAGUUUCAUCUGUCAGGCCAAGCUGAAUGAACUCUAUCUCCAAUAACUGGUUCUUAUCCCCUUUUAUGAAUUUUAGCAAAACUACGCAAUAAAGAUCAUUAGUUUUUUAACUGCCGGCCAAAGGAAAACACUUUUUCAGAGUCCUGCUCAGGAGCAUAUAUUUUUUCUGCCUAAGUAUCA
rnacentral:lncRNA from 1 species